AUGCGCCUUCACAAGGCGCUGUACGGACUACGCCAAGCCCCGAGAGCUUGGAACGCCAAGCUGGACGAGAGUCUGCGCUCUCUGGGCUUUGAGCGUUGUCCCUCGGAGCACGCGGUCUACCGACACGGGGAGGGCGACAGACUUCUAAUCGUCGGUGUGUACGUAGACGAUCUUGUCAUCACGGGCGCGGACAAGACGGAGAUCGACGCGUUCAAGCGCCAGAUGACCGCGCUCUUCCGCAUGAGCGACCUUGGUGAGCUCAGCUAUUACCUGGGUAUUGAGGUGCGCCAGGAAUGCGACCGCAUCACGCUCUGCCAAGCAGCCUACGCGAAGAAGCUGCUGGAGCGCGCCGGGCUCGAGGACUGCAACCCCGGCAACGUGCCGAUGGAAGCUCGGCUGAAAUUGAGCAGAGACAGCAAGGAGAGGCCGGUGGACAGCUCGGAGUACCGCAGCAUCAUCGGAGGGCUGCGUUACCUCGUGCACACGAGGCCGGACAUCUCUUUCGCCGUCGGCUAUCUGAGCCGCUUCAUGGAGGCGCCGGCUUCAGACCAUUACGCGGCUGUGAAGCGUCUGCUAAGGUAUGUGGCAGGCACGCUGGACUACGGCUGUGCCUAUGUCCGGGGCAAGGGCACACCGGAGCUGCUGGGGUACAGUGAUGCGGAUCACGCCGGCGACAUCAACGACAGGCGGAGCACAACGGGAGUGCUCUACUUCCUCGGCGGCAGCCCAGUGAGUUGGCAGUCGCAGAAACAAAGGGUGGUGGCACUCUCUUCAUGUGAGGCGGAGUAUGUGGCCGCCACCACCGCCGCUUGCCAAGGGAUUUGGCUGGCUCGGCUGAUCGGAGAGAUGCUGAACACCGACGUCCGGCCACCGCGACUUCUGGUCGACAACAAGUCAGCAAUCUCUCUCUCCAAGAACCCUGUCUUCCAUGAUCGAAGCAAACACAUUGAGAUACGAUACCACUUCAUUCGUGAGUGUGUGGAAGAAGGGCGGAUCGACAUCAACUACGUCUGCACCAACGAACAGCUUGCCGACGUCCUCACCAAAGCACUUGGACGACUCAAGUUUCUGGAGCUCAGGGGAAGGAUCGGCAUGACAGAAAUAAUUCGGCAGCGACAAGAUUAG
rnacentral:rRNA from 1 species